rnacentral:lncRNA from 1 species
AAUUAAAAAUUUUUAAUUUGCAUACCAAUAUGCAAAAUGGUGAAUUAGAUAUGGAUUGGGUCAAAUCCAUAUUCAAUCUGCAAACACAUGGAUUGGAUUUGGAUUGAAUUCGCCAAUCCGUGAAUUUGAUUAGAUUGAAAAUUUACAAUCUGUAAAAUUAUGGAUUGGAUAUGGAUUGAUGUCCAAUCCGCAAAAUCCGAUCUGCGAACACCCCUACAAAUGAUUUUCUAGAAAAUCACCCACCAAGGAAAAAAAAAAGUUCACUUGGUAAUUAAUUUCAUAUAACAUAACUAAGAGUAUAUAUUAGGUGGUGUUUACUUCUCAGAUUGGAGUGAGAAUUCUGAGUAGUGGGAAUCUUGAGAUUGAAAUAAGAAUCAUAAUCCCAUUUAUGUGUUUAUUUUGUCUUGGAUUGAGAAUAUAUUAUUUUAAAUUACAGUUUUAUCUUUAUUUAAAGAAUUGUAAUUUUUAAUAACGAAGUGAAUAAGAUAUAUAUUUAUAAAAUAAACUAUUUAUUUUAUUAUUAUUUUAAUUAUAUAAAUUAAUAAUAAUUAUCAAUAUUCUUAAUUAUGUAAACCAUAAUUAUUUAUUAAUGUUAAUUUUAAUUAUAUAAAUUAAAAAUUAUUGAUAAGAGCACACAAAUAUUUAAAAAAAAAAAAGAAGGGUAAAAAAGGAAGAUGAGGGAGCGGAUUUGCACUCCCAUUACCCCCAUAGGAGUGGGAAUCCCACUCCUCACUCGAUAAGUGAGUGGUACCUAAGGAGUGGGGCUCUCAUUUUCCUCCUUAAAUAAGUAUGUGAAUUUUGAAGUGAGAAGAAUCAACACUCCUCACUCCCACUUAAACAAGUAAAUACAAUAUUAAGAAAGUACUUGGUACUCCAUGUAUGCAGAACCAAAAGCCAAUUGCUUACUUACAGACCAAUUAAAUAGGAUUGCAUGAGUGGCAAGCGAACAACCAAAAGCCAAGAAAUGAGUAUGCUAAUUAGUAGGGUCUCAAAUAAGAUUUUGUGGAUUGGACAUCAAUCCAUAUAUGAUCUACGAUUUUGCGGGUCAUAGAUUUUUAAAUUAUAAAUUUUCAAUCCAAUCCAUUUCAUAGAUUGGUGAAAUUCAAUCCAAAUGUUUUUGGAUCAGAUG